UUGUUUGCCUCGGGAAACAAACUUGCGCUAUCAGAACACAAAGCUGCAAGACCCAAGGGCCUGUUGACUGCAGCAUCGGCAUCCAGCUGGCUUUCUCAGGCACCGACAGGCACGAGUCGGUUCUGAACUCAUGGUACGAGGUGUCCAACCUGCGGCAAUACUCCCUGUACGGGCUCUACUCCAACCUCAAGGACACCCUGAGUGGCCAGUUCAACAAGUUCUUCUAGGCUGUUUGGCGCGGCCUAUGUUUAUUCUCUCCUGUUCCUGCCUCAUUCUGUUGAUCUGCUUGAAUCCCCAUGUUGUGCUUAGCGUCCUUUAGGUUUGCCCGUCC
rnacentral:lncRNA from 1 species